CUAUUACUCCCUCCGUCCGAGAAAGUUUGUCCCUCAAAUGGAUGUAUCUAGCACCAAAUUAGUCUAGAUACAUCCAUUUAAGGGACAAGUCUGGGACAAGUUUUUUCGGACAGAGGGAAUAUAUG
rfam:Triticum aestivum genome assembly, contig: Triticum_aestivum_CS42_TGACv1_scaffold_221200_3B